AAUAACGUCGAGAAUCGGCGCUAAUACCUCAUAAUGCAGCGGAUCCGCAUGGAUAUGUUGUUAAAGGUUUACCGCCUUGGGAUAGGCUUGCGUCUGAUUUAGCUAGUUGGUGUGGUAACGGCACACCAAGGCUACGAUCAGUAACUGGUCUGAGAGGAUGAUCAGUCACACUGGAACUGAGACACGGUCCAGACUCCUACGGGAGGCAGCAGUGAGGAAUAUUGGGCAAUGCUCGAAAGAGUGACCCAGCAACGCCGCGUGGAGGAUGAAGGUAUUCUAUAUCGUAAACUCCUGUGAGAGCAGACGAAAGACAGAUUAUUAAUCUGGAUGACUGUAUGCUCAGAGGAAGCCCCGGCUAACUACGUG
rnacentral:rRNA from 1 species